UAAUACGGAGGGUGCAAGCGUUAUCCGGAUUCACUGGGUUUAAAGGGUGCGUAGGUGGGCAGGUAAGUCAGUGGUGAAAUCUCCGGGCUUAACCCGGAAACUGCCGUUGAUACUAUCUGUCUUGAAUGUAGUGGAGGUGAGCGGAAUAUGUCAUGUAGCGGUGAAAUGCUUAGAUAUGACAUAGAACACCCAUUGCGAAGGCAGCUCGCUACACUAUUAUUGACACUGAGGCACGAAAGCGUGGGGAUCAAACAGGAUUAGAUACCCUGGUAGUCCACGCCCUAAACGAUGGAUACUCGACAUCAGCGAUACACAGUUGGUGUCUGAGCGAAAGCAUUAAGUAUCCCACCUGGGAAGUACGACCGCAAGGUUG
rnacentral:rRNA from 1 species